rnacentral:rRNA from 1 species
UGGGGAAUUUUGGACAAUGGGCGAAAGCCUGAUCCAGCAAUGCCGCGUGUGUGAAGAAGGCCUUCGGGUUGUAAAGCACUUUUGUCCGGAAAGAAAUCCUUGGCUCUAAUACAGUCGGGGGAUGACGGUACCGGAAGAAUAAGCACCGGCUAACUACGUGCCAGCAGCCGCGGUAAUACGUAGGGUGCAAGCGUUAAUCGGAAUUACUGGGCGUAAAGCGUACGCAGGCGGUUUGCUAAGACCGAUGUGAAAUCCCCGGGCUCAACCUGGGAACUGCAUUGGUGACUGGCAGGCUAGAGUAUGGCAGAGGGGGGUAGAAUUCCACGUGUAGCAGUGAAAUGCGUAGAGAUGUGGAGGAAUACCGAUGGCGAAGGCAGCCCCCUGGGCCAAUACUGACGCUCAUGCACGAAAGCGUGGGGAGCAAACAGGAUUAGAUACCCUGGUAGUCCACGCCCUAAACGAUGUCAACUAGUUGUUGGGGAUUCAUUUCCUUAGUAACGUAGCUAACGCGUGAAGUUGACCGCCUGGGGAGUACGGUCGCAAGAUUAAAACUUAAAGGAAUUAACGGGGUCAUAGCUGUUUCC